AUUGAACGCUGGCGGCAGGCCUAACACAUGCAAGUCGAACGAGUGGCGGACGGGUGAGAAAUGUCUGGAACUCUGCCUGAUGGGGGGGGAUAACUACUGGAAACUGUAGCUAAUAGCGCAUACCAUCGGAUGUGCCGAGGUGGGAUUAGCUAGUAGGUGGGGUAACGGCUCACCUAGGCGACGAUCCCUAGCUGGUCUGAGAGGAUGACCAGCCACACUGGAACUGAGACACGGUCCAGACUCCUACGGGAGGCAGCAGUGGGGAAUAUUGCACAAUGGGCGCAAGCCUGAUGCAGCCAUGCCGCGUGUAUGAAGAAGGCCUUCGGGUUGUAAAGUACUUUCAGCGGGGAGGCGUUACCCGCAGAAGAAGCACCGGCUAACUCCGUGCCAGCAGCCGCGGUAAUUC
rnacentral:rRNA from 1 species